rnacentral:rRNA from 1 species
GUGCAGCCGCCGCGGUAAUACGGAGGGUGCAAGCGUUAUCCGGAUUCAUUGGGUUUAAAGGGUGCGCAGGCGGAUUAUUAAGUUAGUGGUGAAAUCCCGGGGCUCAACCUCGGAACUGCCAUUAAUACUGGUAAUCUGGAAUACGGUUGAAGUGGGCGGAAUGUAGCAUGUAGCGGUGAAAUGCAUAGAGAUGCUACAGAGCACCGAUCGCGAAGGCAGCUCACUAAGCCGAUAUUGACGCUCAGGCACGAAAGCGUGGGGAGCGAACAGGAUUAGAUACCCUGGUAGUCCACGCCGUAAACGAUGAUAACUCGUUGUUGGCGACACACAGUCAGCGACUAAGCGAAAGCGAUAAGUUAUCCACCUGGGGAGUACGAUCGCAAGGUUGAAACUUAAAUGAAUUGACGG